AGGGGCGUUACAAGUCUAUAGUUUUAACAAAGCUUCAACCUGAAGUAAUGGGAUAAGUUCAGUUGGGGUUCAAGCAAGAGCUGCAUUCUCUCCUCCAUAUCAAGCGCCAUGUUUGCUUGAUGGUCCUCUGUCUUCUCUCCAUUGAGCAAGUCGAUUGUCCACUUAGAAUCCGUUUCAACUAUUAAAUUCCUCGCACCCAGGGAUUUUGCAAGUAUAAGCCCUUGUCUGAUUCCCUAAAGUUUGGCCAAAACACUGGUGGUAUUUCCAAUAUUCAACAAUAAUUCAUGGACUCAGUUUCCGUUAUCGUCUCUGAUGAGUCCCCCUGCCGCUGUGACACCCGUGGAAGUUUUACAUGCUCCGUCUGUAUUUAGGAUCCAGUGAGCAUCUGGAGGCUUCGUCCAUCUCACCCGGCGAGAUUCUCUGGUCCCAUAUGGCUGAUGCGAAGAGAGUUGCCCAUUGAACUCCAUCGAAGCAUAUUUUCUUGGAUCGACAGUUUUUGCUAUGCCACUCUUCGAACAUUCUGGUAUCGAAUUGUUUGUCCUUGUAAUAUGCUUUAAGUUCUAUCCAGACUAGUUUUGCAAUUCUGUAAUUUGGUAGUAUGUUCCAUACUUUCGAUCGUUCCUUGACAAUCCUUGCAAUACUUCUCUUGUAUCAUGUU